rnacentral:sRNA from 1 species
GCUGGGCGUGGUGGCACAUGCCUGUAAUCUCAGCUGCUCUGGAGGCUGAGACAGGAGGAUCUCGAGUUCAAAGCCAGCCUCAGCAAUGGGGAGGCGCUAAGCAACUCAUUGAGAUCUUGUCUCUA